UAGGGAAUAUUGGGCAAUGGAGGCAACUCUGACCCAGCCAUGCCGCGUGCAGGAAGACGGUCCUAUGGAUUGUAAACUGCUCUUAUCAUAGAGUAACCGCGGGGACGUGUCCCCGCCUGCAAGUAUAUGAUGAAUAAGCAUCGGCUAACUCCGUGCCAGCAGCCGCGGUAAUACGGAGGAUGCAAGCGUUAUCCGGAUUUAUUGGGUUUAAAGGGUGCGCAGGCGGAUCGGUAAGUCAGGGGUGAAAUUUAGCUGCUUAACAGCAAAACUGCCUUUGAUACUGCCGAACUAGAGUUCAAUUGACGUUGCCGGAAUGUGAUGUGUAGCGGUGAAAUGCAUAGAUAUGUCACAGAACGCCGAUCGUGAAGACAGGUAACGAAAUUGAUACAGACGCUCAUGCACGAAAGCGUGGGGAUCAAACAGGAUUAGAUACCCUGGUAGUCCACGCUGUAAACGAUGAUCACUCGUUGUUGGACAGCAAUGUUCAGUGGCCAAGCGAAAGCGAUAAGUGAUCCACCU
rnacentral:rRNA from 1 species